CUUCUUGUCAGCGGUCAGCUCCCCAGCUGCUGAUGUCAUCCCACAUGCCACCCUGAUCCUAAAGAUCACAUUCCCUCUACUCCACGUC